UACAGAGGGGGCAAGCGUUAUUCGGAAUUAUUGGGCGUAAAGGGCGCGUAGGCGGCUUUGCAAGUGACGGGUGAAAUCCCACGGCUUAACCGUGGAACUGCCUGUCAGACUGCAUGGCUUGAGACCAGGAGAGGUGAGUGGAAUUCCCAGUGUAGCGGUGAAAAUGCGUAGAUAUUGGGAGGAACACCAGUGGCGAAGGCGGCUCACUGGACUGGUACUGACGCUGAGGCGCGAAAAGCGUGGGGGAGCAAACAGGG
rnacentral:rRNA from 1 species